CCGGGGCUUCUUCUNCGGGUACCGUCAUUAUCGUCCCCGCUGAAAGGACUUUACAACCCUAAGGCCUUCAUCGUCCACGCGGCAUGGCUAGAUCAGGCUUGCGCCCAUUGUCUAAGAUUCCCCA
rnacentral:rRNA from 1 species